rnacentral:rRNA from 1 species
AAAGCCCUACGGGACGCAGCAGUGGGGAAUAUUGCACAAUGGGGGAAACCCUGAUGCAGCGACGCCGCGUGAGCGAUGAAGUAUUUCGGUAUGUAAAGCUCUAUCAGCAGGGAAGAAGAUGACGGUACCUGACCAAGAAGCCCCGGCUAACUACGUGCCAGCAGCCGCGGUAAUACAUAGGGGGCAAGCGUUAUCCGGAUUUACUGGGUGUAAAGGGAGCGUAGACGGUUAUGUAAGUCUGGAGUGAAAGCCCGGGGCCCAACCCCGGGACUGCUUUGGAAACUGUGUAACUGGAGUACAGGAGG